rnacentral:rRNA from 1 species
UUUUAUAAGUGUUCCAGAAUAAUCGGCUAUACAUUUUAAUUUUUAACUCUAUUUGUUGUGGUGCUUUUUUUUUGUUGUAUUUUUUAUUUCAUUUUUUGUAAAAUAUUUUGGUUUUUUUUUUUUUGAAAAAGUGCUUAAAAUUUGGUUUUUGAACUGGAUUAGUACCCAGGUAAACAAAAUUUAUUAAUUCGGGAGUAAAGUUUUUUUUAAACCGAAAAAAUAUUGACUGACUUCGGAUUUUUCUUUGGAACAUGUGUUUUUUGGAGAGUCCUCCCUUGUUGCUGGUUUUGUUGGCUCAUGUAUGAUUGUUUAGCUUUUAUUUUUUUUGUAAUGCUAUUUUUUGUUUUUAUUUAAAACAGAUAUAUAUUUGGUUUAUGAAUCAGUUAUCAUGUGUUACUAUUAUUAAUUUUUUUCGGAUUUAAUUUUUAUUUUUUUUUGAAGUUGGAAAAGAAAGUAAUUUUUUUUUUAUGUAUUAAUGAAUUUAAUAAACGGAGUGGUACAAAUCAUCCCGU